ACAUGCAAGUCGAGCGGAUCUUCAUUAGCUUGCUUUUGAAGAUCAGNGGCGGACGGGUGAGUAACACGUGGGCAACCUGCCUGUAAGACUGGGAUAACUUCGGGAAACCGGAGCUAAUACCGGAUAAUCCUUUCCCUCACAUGAGGGAAAGCUGAAAGACGGUUUCGGCUGUCACUUACAGAUGGGCCCGCGGCGCAUUAGCUAGUUGGUGAGGUAAUGGCUCACCAAGGCAACGAUGCGUAGCCGACCUGAGAGGGUGAUCGGCCACACUGGGACUGAGACACGGCCCAGACUCCUACGGGAGGCAGCAGUAGGGAAUCUUCCGCAAUGGACGAAAGUCUGACGGAGCAACGCCGCGUGAACGAUGAAGGCUUUCGGGUCGUAAAGUUCUGUUGUUAGGGAAGAACAAGUACCGGAGUAACUGCCGGUACCUUGACGGUACCUAACCAGAAAGCCACGGCUAACUACGUGCCAGCAGCCGCGGUAAUACGUAGGUGGCAAGCGUUGUCCGGAAUUAUUGGGCGUAAAGCGCGCGCAGGCGG
rnacentral:rRNA from 1 species